ACUAUAGAAUAAAGAUUUUUUAUUGUUUAGAUGGGGCCUGCAGAAUCUGAGGUUUGUUCAUGUGAUAUACCUUUCCUGUUCAAUUAAUAUUUAGAUCGAUGUCUGAUAUAUCUGUAUUCUGCAGUAGUUUCGGCCAGUCCUUAGUACAGGUACUGACUUCGAGGAAAAUAUCAUAUAAUUUCGAUUACCUUGACUGGAGUUUUGUUGUUUUUCUUUCUAAUUGCAAGGAUGCAGGUAUAUUUACAGUCAGAGACUAUAAGACAAGAGGAGAUGAAACGGAAGUUGAAAGAGAUAAAACAAUGGAAGCCCUCCAAAAGCUAUCAGAUAUCUCCGACGGCAGGUGGAAAGUACUUUCGGCAAUAUGCUUGGCAGGAAACCAUAGGUGUUAAUCUAGAAAAUUUGCUCGAUAUUCUUCCUGACUACCUCGUACAGAUGAUAAACAAGAACUUUGCUUAGAAUUGCUCAAGAAAGUAGAGGAGUUUGGAAAUUGGAGUGAGCCAACAUUGUGGCAUCUCUGUGAUCGUGUGAAGCCAGUUUUCU